UAUUUUGAUAAUCAAUUUGCAUCAUUUUCAAAAGUUAUUCCGGUAUAAGUCUCUUAUUAUGAAAUGCCAAAUCAAACUGAGUAUAAAUCAAGUAAUAACUGCCAAAAGAACAACUCCAAAAAAGGAUUGCAUUGGAAAACCCACUCUUCUAAAAGAUCAUUGAUAAUUUUAUAUAAAUUUCACAAGUCAUUCAACUUUUACAUUAGUAACCUUGAACUUUAAAUUUGAGAUCCAAAAAUACAUAAAUAGUUCCAGGCUGAAAAUUUCAAGAAACACUUUCCGCUUAGUCAUCAAAUUUGACCAAUUCAUAGCGAAAAACGAAAUAGAAAUCAAUUUGAAUAUUUCGACUUUUAACUCGUUAAUUUUUAUUAGGGAAAACUAGGGUUUUCCAUUUGUCGUUUUCAGAGUAAUACGACAAGUUUUAAGAUUAUUUAGCUGAUGAUCAUAUCCAUUGUGAAUAGCACACCCUAUUGUUAUUGCAAUUCUCACUGGGUUCGUUGCGCUCGCACUUCGCAACGCCAGCGAUAAAGGCAAUCGCAACGCUGACUCCGACCGCGCCAGCGACGAUGACGACGACACUAUCGUUGCGUUCUGCGAUAGCGAAUAAUGAGCUAAAUUUUUCUCUGUACUUGUACUUUUGUUAUUGUAUUAUUUUUGUGGAUCACGGCUUUCCUUUGUGAAUGAGAAAAUAAAAGAGGAGUUUUUGUUUUUCGCUUGCGUUUCGAGUGCCAGCCACGAAUUCUGUGGACAGUCGUGCGCGUGCAGCGGUGGCGAAAGGAAUAAUAAGUGCAAUACUGUGAGCGUGGCGAGUGAAUCACAACGAGAAAUAAUUUUGACAUUGGCAAAUGCCAUUUGGGUUUUCGUGUGCCGCCGAAGGGAGGACAUACAUACAUAAAUAAAUGCGCGAUUAGUGUAUAAAAUGGGUGUUGAAAUAUUACAAAAACGAACAUUAAUUUUGUAGUGAAAAUAAACACAGGCGUGUAAAAUGCAACAACAACACUGAUAAGCGUUUUCUGACGCGAGUGAGUAAAAUUGUUGGAAAAUAAUCUAAAAUGCAAAGCGAUUGUGCAAAAUAUAGUAACAAAUAACAAACAAUGAAAUCACACACGUGUGGGUAUGUAAGCAUGUAUGUAGUUGUGUCUAUUGUAUGUUGGGGGAAAGGACAACCACGAAGGAUAUUCGCAUAUGUGCGCCUUGACACGCAAGCAACAGCAAAGUUCAAAAUCAGUGGAUACAUGUAUGUAUGUUUACAAAUAUACACGCCCUUGACGACGACGACGACGGCGUUGACUUCGCAGGCUUCGUCAUCGAUAGCGCAACAGUGCGUCAUGCAAGUAACGCUCAAUUGACUUGCUGCCCUGUUGCUACAAAUAAUCCUCAUACAUACAUACUUACUAUUAUGUCAAUAUGUAUGUAAGCUCGAACAUAUCAUAUUUCUUUUUUGGCUGUGUGCUGAUUUCAUUCAUAAAUGCCGUUCGGCAAAUAUUUGUUUUGCGACGACGACGAGAGAAAAGAAGAGCCCAAAUAUGUGCUAAAAGCAGAACUGAGAAUUGCAGAAAUAACAAAAUGGAUGAUUUACCAUUCAGUUUUGCGCUGUAAAAUGCCCCAUAUACAUAUGUAUGUACAUAUACAUUUGUACAUACAUACAUAUUUUGGAUACGGAAGACAACUUAAUUCAGCAAACUUACGGUGUCAAAAGUUCUUGUGAGUACUUGAUCAGCAUUUAAAUUAUAUUUACGUAUUUAUUAUUAAAAAGCAAUGUCCUAAAGAAAAAAACUUCUGAAAUUAAAAAAAAAAAAUCCGAAAAGA